rnacentral:lncRNA from 1 species
GCCACAGGGGAGGAGCCAAGAUGGCCAAAUAGGAACAGCUCCGGUCUACAGCUCCCAGCGUGAGCGACGCAGAAGACGGGUGAUUUCUGCAUUUCCAUCUGAGACCAGUGACCUUUUCUAUUUCAUAGUAAACAAACUUCAUGAGUACUUGCCGGAGUCUAGGGAUAAGAAUGCACUACAAAAUCAAAGCCAAAGGGUUGAUGAGCUGGUGGCAUGCAUUGAAAUUAUACAGACCCUAGUAUUGAUGUUCAGAGAAACAGAAACCGAGUCAUCACGCCUGAACACAUUGGCAGCUAAGAAUUACAGAAGCUUAUUCUGGAGUAUACAAAUACUGCUACAGCACUUUUAUAUGAGAUACUUCUGGUCUUUCAGCAGGGAAAUCUCGGAUUGGGAUCCACAAAGUUUGCUAUUAGCUGGAUAAUGUCCUUUCUACAAAGCUGUCCUCCCAUCAUUACUUUUGUGGCCAGUAUUGUGAAACAAGUGGUGAGGGGUCUUUCAGCUUCAUUUCAGCUGCUAAGUCCCUGCCAAGCAGUUCUGUUGUACCAGCAAUUUUACAUCCUCAAGAGCUGUCUGCGGCACAGCAGGACUCUAGCUGAGUAUAUUAGGAAUAACUACAGAGAAGAAUUCAGGUACUUUAUUCACAUGCCAGCCUUGCAGAAAAGGCUCCCAUUGUGUUACCCCAUCACUCAACCUACCAUUCAACUUUUUCAUGAAGUUCUGAAAUUGGUUGAAUAGAAACAAACAAUGUACGCAAUGUUAAUAAGAGUAUAAAAUGUUAAUCAAGAGUCAACUUGAUAUUCACGAGAAACAUUUUUUUAUUUGUUUAAUAUCUGGCUAUCUCUGAGUCCUAUAAACAAAGAUUUUAAUUGAAUGUUCCAUCAAUACCUCUCUAUGAGAAGUUUAAAAUUUUAAAAAAUAAAUUUGAUUUAUUAUAA